GGUGAAGAACGUAGCGAAAUGCGAUAAGUAAUGUGAAUUGCAGAAUUCAGUGAAUCAUCGAAUCUUUGAACGCACAUUGCGCCCCCUGGUAUUCCGGGGGGCAUGCCUGUCCGAGCGUCAUUACAACCCUCAAGCUCAGCUUGGUGUUGGGCCCCGCCGCCCCGGCGGGCCCUAAAGUCAGUGGCGGUGCCGUCCGGCUCCGAGCGUAGUAAUUCUUCUCGCUCUGGAGGUCCGGUCGUGUGCUCGCCAGCAACCCCCAAUUUUUUUCAGGUUGACCUCGGAUCAGGUAGGGAUACCCGCUGAACUUAAGCAUAUCAAUAAGCGGAGGA
rnacentral:misc_RNA from 1 species